rnacentral:lncRNA from 1 species
GUUAGUAAAAACAACACUCACUUUUUCUUGUUUUCUCUCGUACUUUUCACUCGUUUCUUGCUCGCUAUCUUCUCUUUUUUUCGUUUCUUUUUCUAACUCAUUCUCAAACUUUCUUUUAUUUUCUUUUUCAAUUUCUUUUUCUUUCACCUUUUCGAUUUUCUGUUCUUCGUUUUCUUUUUCUCUCAUCUUUUUUUUUCUCAUCUCGAGUUCAUUUAGGAUCCGCUCAUUUUCUCUUAUUAUCAUCUCUUGUCUUUCUUUUCUUCUUAUUUCUUUUUCUUUUUGCCUUGCUAUUUCAUUAUAGGAUGGAGAUGUUACAAAUGAAUCAGCAUGAAAUGACUCUCGUUGGGUAUGUUUGGAACGAAUUUCAUACAAAAAAUGAUCACCUCUAGAAGAUUGAUUCUUGGUGGAUGAAUACCUUGGUGCAUACGAAGGACUACUUGUGAUUUCUCAUUCGUCACCUUGAAAAGCUUCAAACUCGAAACUUGCUUUGCUUUGUCCUGAAUUCCUCGUUGAAUAGGAAUUAUGAUUUGAAUCUCUUCU